CCUACGGGUGGCAGCAGUGAGGAAUAUUGGUCAAUGGCCGAGAGGCUGAACCAGCCAAGUCGCGUGAGGGAAGACGGCCCUACGGGCUGUAAACCCCUUUUGUCGGGGAGCAAAGCGAACCACGUGUGGUUCAUUGAGAGUACCCGAAGAAUAAGCAUCGGCUAACUCCGUGCCAGCAGCCGCGGUAAUACGGAGGAUGCGAGCGUGAUCCGGAUUUAUUGGGUUUAAAGGGUGCGCAGGCGGAGGUGCAAGUCAGCGGUCAAAUUGCGGGGCUCAACCCCGUACUGCCGUUGAAACUGCAUCCCUUGAGUGCGCGAGGAGUGAGCGGAAUGCGAGGUGUAGCGGUGAAAUGCGUAGAUAUCACGCGGAACUCCGGUGGCGAAGGCGGCAUACCGGCGCGCAACUGACGCUCAUGCACGAAAGCGUGGGUAUCGAACAGGAUUAGAUACCCCUGUAGUC
rnacentral:rRNA from 1 species